rnacentral:tRNA from 1 species
GGGGUUGUAGCUCAGUGGUAGAGUGCUCACCUAGCAUGUGUGAGGCCCUGGGUUCAAUCCUUAGCACCA